AGAGAAUUGACCGAGUGGUUUAAGGUGAUAAGCUUGAAACUUAUUUGGUUAAAGUGAUCACAUCCGUUCGAAUCGGAUAUUUUCUG
rnacentral:tRNA from 1 species